AACGAACGCUGGCGGCAGGCCUAACACAUGCAAGUCGAGCGAGACCUUCGGGUUUAGCGGCGGACGGGUUAGUAACGCGUGGGAACGUGCCCUUUUCUACGGAAUAGUCUCGGGAAACUGAGGGUAAUACCGUAUACGCCCUUCGGGGGAAAGAUUUAUCGGAGAAGGAUCGGCCCGCGUCUGAUUAGAUAGUUGGUGGGGUAAUGGCCUACCAAGUCUACGAUCAGUAGCUGGUUUUAGAGGAUGAUCAGCAACACUGGGACUGAGACACGGCCCAGACUCCUACGGGAGGCAGCAGUGGGGAAUCUUAGACAAUGGGCGCAAGCCUGAUCUAGCCAUGCCGCGUGAGUGAUGAAGGCCUUAGGGUCGUAAAGCUCUUUCGCCAGGGAUGAUAAUGACAGUACCUGGUAAAGAAACCCCGGCUAACUCCGUGCCAGCCGCCGCUGUAAUAC
rnacentral:rRNA from 1 species